CUAGAACCGAGGCGCUAGUUCAGUAUUAGUUGGCACCAUGCGCUCUCUGGUAGUACUAUUCCUGGUAAUCUCGCUCUCAGGUCUCGUUCUGGGGGAGAAAGAACACAGUCUACGUUAUGAAUUAUCAAAUUCUCGAGAAACGUUGCUGGACAGAGAUGAGUACCUUUACGUCCGACAAGGAAUACAGAUAACCGAAGAAUCCACAGACUCUACCACCACAACAUCCACUACCACCACCACAACACCCACUACUACCACA
rnacentral:lncRNA from 1 species